CAAGCCCAGACCCCCAAACAGUCCAGGAGAUGGCUUUUCCCCUCUCCAAAACAAUGACAUGACUGUAGAGGUCCUUUAUAAUUGGAGCUACAUUCACCCUGCGGGGAUCAAGCAGGACUCAUGAUCUUCACCAGCAGCUCCCUCAAAGGUUCAAACAGCGUGGUCUUUUUCUCAAGUGAAACUGAAUUCGUCCUGUCUGGGAAAACACAGGUUACCCCUGGAAUGUCCUUUUAUCAAAAAACAUUUGUUGACUUUUCAC